CCCCCGCAGCGGCCCCGGCGCGGCUCCCCCGCCGGCCUCCGGGCCGCCCGGGCGCCUGGAACCUUCCGCUUUCGGAUCCAGAGAGGCCCUCGCCCUCGCCACCCGGAGGAGCCCGGCCCCCGUGGCUCCCGCAGCCUCCUCCUCCCACCCCCAGCCCGGAGCGCCGCCGCGGCUCCCGGCAGCCCCCAACCAACCGGAUAGAUGGAGAAACGGGACCAGGGACAGCUGCCCAGUGGAAGACUCCCGCCCUUGCCCGCACCUAGCGGGGAAUAAGGAAUGUGACUUCUGUGGUUCCUCAGCACCUUUACUCUUUCCUAUGUGUCCUUGACUCUGGCCACUUAGUCGCCUGCCUCCUGGGGGAGUCCAGGGGAGAGGCGGGUGCUCCUGCUCCCCUUCCCCCAGAGCUGAGUAAUGGUCCCUCUGCCGUUGGAGGGUGGUAAACAGUGUCGAGCGCGA